UAGGGAAUCUUCCGCAAUGGACGCAAGUCUGACGGAGCAACGCCGCGUGAGUGAAGAAGGAUUUCGGUUCGUAAAACUCUGUUGUUAGAGAAGAACAGCGCAUAGAGUAACUGUUAUGCGUGUGACGGUAUCUAACCAGAAAGCCACGGCUAACUACGUGCCAGCAGCCGCGGUAAUACGUAGGUGGCAAGCGUUGUCCGGAUGUAUUGGGCGUAAAGCGAGCGCAGGCGGUCAAUUAAGUCUGAUGUGAAAGCCCCCGGCUCAACCGGGGAGGUUCAUUGAAAACUGUUUGACUUGAGUGCAGAAGAGGAGGGUGUAAUUCCAUGUGUAGCGGUGAAAUGCGUAGAUAUAUGGAGGAACACCAGUGGCGAAGGCGACUCUCUGGUCUGUAACUGACGCUGAGGUUCGAAAGCGUGGGUAGCAAACAGG
rnacentral:rRNA from 1 species